UACGGGGGGAGCAAGCGUUGUUCGGAUUUACUGGGCGUAAAGGGCGCGUAGGCGACCACCGCAAGUCGGUUGUGAAAUCUCUGGGCUUAACCCAGAAAGGUCAACCGAUACUGCGGGGCUAGAGUGCAGAAGGGGCAACUGGAAUUCUCGGUGUAGCGGUGAAAUGCGUAGAUAUCGUGAGGAAGACCAGUGGCGAAGGCGGGUCUCUGGACAGUUCCUGACACUGAGGAGCGAAAGCCAGGGGAGCAAACGGG
rnacentral:rRNA from 1 species